rnacentral:rRNA from 1 species
CCUACGUGCGGCAGCAGUGGGGAAUAUUGGACAAUGGGGGGAACCCUGAUCCAGCCAUGCCGCGUGUGUGAAGAAGGCCCUCGGGUUGUAAAGCACUUUCAGUGAGGAAGAACGCCUGGUGGUUAAUACCCAUCAGGAAAGACAUCACUCACAGAAGAAGCACCGGCUAACUCCGUGCCAGCAGCCGCGGUAAUACGGAGGGUGCGAGCGUUAAUCGGAAUUACUGGGCGUAAAGCGCGCGUAGGUGGCUUGAUAAGCCGGUUGUGAAAGCCCCGGGCUCAACCUGGGAACGGCAUCCGGAACUGUCAAGCUAGAGUGCAGGAGAGGAAGGUAGAAUUCCCGGUGUAGCGGUGAAAUGCGUAGAGAUCGGGAGGAAUACCAGUGGCGAAGGCGGCCUUCUGGACUGACACUGACACUGAGGUGCGAAAGCGUGGGUAGCAAACAGGAUUAGAUACCCUGGUAGUC